ACUACCACAUUUACAGGAAGUAUGGUAAUACAUUCUUGUCAGCUGUCUGGGCAAAUCUUCUCUCGCAGAAUUGGAUUAAAAUUUAAUGUAUUUUAUUUCUCACUUCCAACGAUGUCGCAAUUAUUAGGCAGCUAUCAAGUCUCAAGAUAUGACAUAAUUUGAUAGAAUGUUAGUACCAACGCUAUCAGUGCAUUCAAGUCGAGUUCUCGAUACAGGGAGCUGCUGGUAAACUACCGUCGCUAUACAUCGACUAUGACUACAAUCCUAUUUUUAAAAACAAACUACAUACAUAUCUCACAUUUGCGAGGACUGCUUCAUCACAAGCAAAAAAUCGACAUUGGUAAAUAAAGGUCUGUCUUCUAUAACCACGAUGAAAAGAAAAGCUGGGCGAAAACAUUUGAGACUGCAGAUUGCAGAACUGGAACACUCUAUUUGAAGACAGUGGCUGCUGAGUGCUGAGCUGCAUCAAAUCUAUCAGCAUCAUGUAACUUCGAUCAGGAACAGACUCCAUUUCAUUUCCGACAACUAGCACCUGUUUUCCCUAGACUUACCAAGUAUUAAGUAACUGCAUUAGUAUUAGGUUAAAUUAAAGGCCCUACAUCGAACAAGUCUAACAAUUAAAACUUAAAUGCAAGAGUGCACAAUUUAUCACUAAAUAUCUUCCUCUUUUAAUUCUAAUCAACACACGGUUUCGUCUUUGUUUCACCCAAUCGUGCUGAUAAUCAGUAAUCAUGCACUCUGCACUCUAACUUCGAGAUGUUUCAAAAGGGCUCCCGACGAGUUGAAUUAGAUCAAUAUUUUCUUUUGAUACAUAGAUACUGAUUGGGAGGUUCAUCAUACUAUUCUUGUCACAUGGUAACAAUUAACGAUUAGCUGAUCAGCUUCCAGCAUCGACAGGCCGAAAUCCAUAAAUAUAAUCAGUUGUAAUAAUAAUUAUGCACACCUAUUAACGAUUAUCCAUCUGCCGAUGAUCGAUUACCAUUUAAUAUUUAUCAUCGUCCGGAUCAUCAUAAUAUUUUAAUUUAAAGUUACAAUUGAACGGUGUUAAGAAAGAUAAUUUAAGAGAAAUGUUUUGAAAGUGCCUGAUUUCGAGUAUAAGAUCUGUACUGAUACAUUAAUUUUCAGAUUGUUAUUAUAGUUUAUUUGUAUUUUUUAUAUUAUCUUAUCCGCACAAGUUCGGAAGCCAUCUGAACGCUAUUGCCAGACACAGGCAUAUAUUUAUUUUGGGGUAUCAUGCUCUCAGAAAUUUCAACUCAGUCCGAUAUUAUAGUUAUACUAACCUGCAUUGCAUAAGGUUAAUUGUCUCGCAGUCUAGUGCAUAAACCUUUUAUUUUGCAUAAACCC